AAUAUUGGGCAAUGGACGGAAGUCUGACCCAGCCAUGCCGCGUGAAGGAUGAAGGCGUUCUGCGUUGUAAACUUCUUUUACCAGGGAAGAAAUGAUAUUUUUCUAAAUAUUUUGACGGUACCUGAGGAGGAAGCCCCGGCUAACUACGUGCCAGCAGCCGCGGUAAUACGUAGGGGGCAAGCGUUGUCCGGAAUUAUUGGGCGUAAAGGGUGCGUAGGCGGCUUUUUAAGUCAGAUGUGAAAGACCACAGCUUAACUGUGGGGUUGCAUUUGAAACUGGAGAGCUUGAGUAUCGGAGAGGGUAGUGGAAUUCCUGGAGUAGCGGUGAAAUGCGUAGAUAUCAGGAGGAACACCAGUGGCGAAGGCGACUACCUGGACGAAAACUGACGCUGAGGCACGAAAGCUAGGGGAGCAAAC
rnacentral:rRNA from 1 species